CGAAUGGAGCAAUCCUAGUAGAGCGGCGCACGGGUGCGUAACACGUGGGUAAUCUGCCUGGGUGUCUGGGAUAACCAGUCGAAAGACUGGCUAAUACCGGAUAAGACCACGGCCCCUUCGGGGGCAGUGAGAAAAGAUGGCCUCUGUAUACAAGCUAUCACACCCAGAUGAGCCCGCGGCCCAUCAGCUAGUUGGCGGGGUAAUGGCCCACCAAGGCAACGACGGGUAGCUGGUCUGAGAGGACGAUCAGCCACACUGGAACUGAGACACGGUCCAGACUCCUACGGGAGGCAGCAGUGGGGAAUUUUGCGCAAUGGGCGAAAGCCUGACGCAGCAACGCCGCGUGUGUGAUGAAGGUCUUCGGAUUGUAAAGCACUUUCGACCGGGACGAAAACCCUCUGGCUAACAUCCAGGGGCUUGACGGUACCGGGAGAAGAAGCACCGGCUAACUCUGUGCCAGCAGCCGCGGUAAUACAGAGGGUGCAAGCGUUGUUCGGAAUUAUUGGGCGUAAAGCGCGUGUAGGCGGCUUUGCAAGUCGGGUGUGAAAGCCCUCAGCUCAACUGAGGAAGUGCGCCCGAAACUGCAGAGCUUGAGUGCCGGAGAGGGUGGCGGAAUUCCCCAAGUAGAGGUGAAAUUCGUAGAUAUGGGGAGGAACACCGGUGGCGAAGGCGGCCACCUGGACGGUAACUGACGCUGAGACGCGAAAGCGUGGGGA
rnacentral:rRNA from 1 species